UACGGAGGGUGCAAGCGUUAUCCGGAUUUACUGGGUUUAAAGGGUGCGUAGGUGGGUAGGAAAGUCAGUGGUGAAAUCUUCGGGCUUAACCCGGAACUGCCAUUGAUACUAUUUAUCUUGAAUACUCUGGAGGUAAGCGGAAUAUGUCAUGUAGCGGUGAAAUGCUUAGAUAUGACAUAGAACACCAAUUGCGAAGGCAGCUG
rnacentral:rRNA from 1 species